GGUGGAGAGGUCAGGUGGCCAGUCCUGGCUGGGGCAGCCCCUCCAGCUCCUGGUUCUGCUUCAAUUCCCUCAUUCUGCAGAGAGACAGAGACGAGUCAGAGGAGACUGAUGGAUCAGAAAAGAUGUCGGGGCAGAGAUCCAGAGAGGAAGAGAAUGAGGCCUCAUCUGAGCAUCUCAAGGCCCACCUAGUAGACUCUGGACCACCUCUUCCUCCCAGAGUCUCCUCCUUAAAACUUUUUUUAAAAAAAGCAUUUAUUUAUUUUGUGUGUGUGUAUAUAGGCUGCCUGUUUGUGGACAUAAGAAUACAAUUUGAAGCAG